CAAGUCGAACGAUGAUGCCAGCUUGCUGGUGGAUUAGUGGCGAACGGGUGAGUAACACGUGAGUAACCUGCCCUUAACUCUGGGAUAAGCCUGGGAAACUGGGUCUAAUACCGGAUAUGACUCCUCAUCGCAUGGUGGGGGGUGUAAAGCUUUUUGUGGUUUUGGAUGGACUCGCGGCCUAUCAGCUUGUUGGUGAGGUAAUGGCUCACCAAGGCGACGACGGGUAGCCGGCCUGAGAGGGUGACCGGCCACACUGGGACUGAGACACGGCCCAGACUCCUACGGGAGGCAGCAGUGGGGAAUAUUGCACAAUGGGCGAAAGCCUGAUGCAGCGACGCCGCGUGAGGGAUGACGGCCUUCGGGUUGUAAACCUCUUUCAGUAGGGAAGAAGCGAAAGUGACGGUACCUGCAGAAGAAGCGCCGGCUAACUACGUGCCAGCAGCCGCGGUAAUACGUAGGGCGCAAGCGUUAUCCGGAAUUAUUGGGCGUAAAGAGCUCGUAGGCGGUUUGUCGCGUCUGCCGUGAAAGUCCGGGGCUCAACUCCGGAUCUGCGGUGGGUACCGGCAGACUAGAGUGAUGUAGGGGAGACUGGAAUUCCUGGUGUAGCGGUGAAAUGCGCAGAUAUCAGGAGGAACACCGAUGGCGAAGCA
rnacentral:rRNA from 1 species